rnacentral:piRNA from 1 species
UUGUCAUCCAGUACUACUUUUGCUUU